GGCGGAGAAGGAGUGGGGAGAUGGCAUCCGCGGGCUGUCGCUGAACGCCGCCCGCUACGCCCUGCUCCACGUGGAGCACGGCCCGCUACACACCAAGAACUGGAGGCCCCAGGUGCUGGUCCUGCUGAACCUGGACGAGGAGCAGCGUGUGAAGCACCCCCGCCUGCUCUCCUUCACCUCGCAGCUCAAGGCCGGCAAGGGCCUGACCAUCGUGGGCUCCGUGCUGGAGGGCACCUUCCUGGACAAGCACGCGGAGGCCCAGCAGGCCGAGGAGGGCCCGUGCAGAGGGGACCACGGGG